UUUUUUUUUUUUUUUUUUUUUUUUUUGGUAUGAUGAAAUAUGAAAUAUUGAGAAAAAUUACCCAGCCAGUGUCAACCUGGGCGAAGGGGAAAUUAACCAUAGUAACACAACAAAUAAACAGAUCAAAGGUAUCAGAAAAACACCAAAGUCUUCAUUUUUUCCCAGUAACACCAGGCAAUUAUAGAUUAAUACAGAUACUGGUUGUUUGAACUCUCAUUAAUCUACAAGGGCAGUCAUGUGUGGUGCCCUUUCCAGAGCUCAGCUAGCAUCUGGCAUAAUUAUUGGCUGCAUCUUUUUCAGUAAUGAGUUGAUUGUGAUGACAGAGCUGCUUAAUAAGCAUCUGUAUGGUUUCAUCUGCAGGAUGCAGAUAUCCAAGCCCACAGAGAGCUGAUCUGAGAGCCCAGAUGUCCGAGCACCCUGCUGUCCUUGGGGAGGGCAGGCUGCUUCUUGCUGAGGGCAAGCCAGAAGUUAAAACACUGAGUUUCUACCUAGAGAUGCCAGCAGCUCUUCAUGGGCUGCUGAGGGACCCACACUCGUUUCUGGAUCUGACACUGCAGGAUGGGGCAUUGCUUGAGGUGGGAGCAGCUGCUUCCCUCUUCAGUGUGGCAAAAUGCAGCUCUGAAAUAGAGCUGCUGAGAGCACCUCCGGGAAACUGGAGAGGGGCACUGAGCACUGGCACUGCUGUGCCAAAAUGAAACUUGAGUUUCAUUUCAGCCCAUUGCACAAAAGAGAAAAUAUAUACAUUUUUAAUAUAUAGUUCAUAGGACCAGACAACCUGCAGCGUUUCUCUGUUCUCUCUCUCUGUUUGCUUUCAUAGGAAUGUUUCAUGGGUUUACUUGAACUCACAUUUUUAAAAAGGGAAAACAGUGUGAUCUUGAUGUGGUGAUCGUGGGUAUCUGUGGUGUUUGCAGUUCCCAGAACUAGAACUGGACUUCACCCAUGUGCUGAACUGGGUAAAUUCCGUCUUGGUUGAAAUGAAGAUUAACCGUGGAACAAUGUCUCUCACUCACAAGUGUGAUUUUCCAGGUGUCAGAAAUACGAAAAUGGAAUGAGUGGACUACAGCCUGAAUGUGAACAAAAAAAGGCAUUUUCUCCUAUUUUUUUUUUAACAUGGAAAUCCAGCUGUCCUUGAAGCUGUUGUGCUUCAACAGCUGUGGGGGAAAACCAGCUGCUUUUUCAUAUCUGCCACUGAGGCAGUGGCUCACCUGCAGCUGCCUGCCCUGGGCAGCACCUCUGGGCACAAGCUGGGUGCCACGGAGCAGAUUGCAAGGUGGCUGCAUGGGUGGGAAUUCUCAUGGGAAAUCCCAUUUCUCACGCCUCUGGGACGUUCUUUGCCCCAUAGGAAGCUGGCCAUUGCAUGUAUCUCCAGAAAUGGGGCUUGAAAACCUUGCAGAAGCAUCGAGCUGGGCUGAGGAGAAGCUAAAUAGCAGGAUGUGCUUGUUUCAAAACACCUGCUUCAUGGGCAAGCUUUGACACUUGUCAUGAGGUCUGCAGGUGUGCCCUGCCUCCCCACAGCUCUGCCUUUCAUGCUUUAAAUGAGUGAGCACGGUGCCCUUCAGCGCAGGCAGCGCUCCCAGGGACAGUGGGCAUGGUGUGAAAGGUGCUGGCUGAGGGGUUUCUGCAGGAAGGGUGUCAGCUGGUGCAAAUGAGACAAUGUGGAUGUCACCCUGGUGCUCCUUUACAGACAUACAGCAGGUCUGACUCAGUUACUGAGCUCAUUCUUGGCAGGAUGGGGCCUCACCUUGGAGCAGUGGGUGCUGGAGAAAGCAGUGCCAUUCCUAGGACCUCUUGGUGAGGCAGAAAUGACAGUGAUUAAAAAAAGAAUGAAUUUAAAAUCUACAGGUCCAGCAUGAAUUUGGCUCUGGUGAUCCCUCUGUCACGCCAUAUGCUGCAGUGAGUACUGCCAGCGUUUCUUCUUUUUUAUUUUUAAUAUAUAUAUAUUUAAAAUGAAAUAAAUGAAAGCAAAACCUUUGACUGAAGGGGCAAAAGGUAAUAAAUUGUGCCACUGCAGGAGCACAGAAUCACCUUGCAGGGCCUGAAGUACAUCAGUGCUUGGCUGCUGCCCACCUGGUUCACCUUUUUGCUUCCCGUGCGUGCGGCAGCAGCUGAGAGGCGCCUGUGCAGCAGGAUCGGAUCUCGUUUCACAUUCUGACUUCCUCACAUGAAAGGCACUCGAGAAAUGCCACUAUUCUUAGUCUUUUCAGGUGUGCCUCGGUGCUAACACUCUUUAGUCUCUGUGCUGGCCUGAUGUUCAAAAGAUAAAUUGCUUGUGGGAACCUGACGUAGCCAUGCUUUAGGGGUGAGCUUGAUUUCUCUGGAGUUUUCGAGUUAACACUGAGGUUACAGAGCUGUGAAAGCUCAUUGCAUAACGUUUGUGGCCAUCAGUUCCUAGGAGUGAUUUUCCAAUGCAAAAAGCUUUCUUGCAGACAGAAAAGCAUUUAAUUAUAUGUUCAGAAGCAGCACGGGAGCCUUCACUUAAUGUUCUCCAUAGUCAAACAUUAUAUCACUUUAAAAAAGUAGGUGGGUUUUGGUUUUGGUUUCUUCUGUUUCCCACACACCUUUACAGGACAUAAAGCUUUAGCUGCUUACAAAAGCAGUUUACAAAAGCAGCUGAAGAAAGCUGCAAUGUGAGAAGCAGUGGCAGAGGGCACAACCUUUAAUAGUGCUGGGCAGGGACACCCACAGAGCAGCCAGGGGACACCUCUGGGGAGAUACCCAAAAUCUUGCCUUGAGCAAGAACAGGGGUCAAAGAGGGGUUUAUGUGCCUCAUGUGAUUCUUAUGCUGGGAGCAGGUUUGUGUCUCUGGACUGCAGCACCUCGGGCUGCCCAGGCAGAUGCUGUCCCUGACAGCAGGCUCAGCUCAGCCUCUGUGCUCUGCUGCAGCUCCUCUGCUCCUCUUCCUCUCUCUUCCUCCCCCCUGCACACACAGCAGCUGAGCAGCAAGAGAAGUUGCUGCACCUUUUGGUAACUGAGCCUUUGCCUGGUCUCUCCAGGCUCUGGUUUUUGGCAGUGCUGGGAGAGCAGCCAGAGCAGUGUGUGUGGAGCUUGUGCUUCUCCACAUGUUCAGCAAGCACACAAAUUUGAAAGCCAGCCAAGCCAGCUUUCCCAUUUGUUCUGUUGUGUAAAUAACAGACAGGCAGGUUUCUUUUCAGUUUGCUCAGGGCACCACAUUUCUGCCCCUCUUCCCCCAUGGGAAGUCCUCAGGAGCUGUGGGGACUCUGGUUUCUCCUGCUGGACUUGCCAGUCCCUCAGAGGACGCUGCCUCUGCUGGGCUCUGCUCCCUGUGUUGGGGUGGAAGGAUGGAGAGCGUGCCCAAGACUCACAGAAAGCAAUUAGUCUGAAGUGGAAAAUUAAUGUGAGGGGGAAAACCUCAGCAAAACCACUUUGGUGAGACAGACAGAAGUCUGUACCUCUGAGUAGCCUGGGUUUGUCUUUCGUUUGCAUGUGCUUGAGGCAGGCUGAGUUGUGGUGUUGCAGAAUAACCCCUGAGUGAAAUAUCCUGGCAGGUUUGGGUCUCUCUGAAGAUCAGUUUCAAUCUUCCAGCCCAUUUCAGCUUCUUGUCACGAUCUCGAGGCUGCCUCAGGCAGUGAGAUGGCUGCUCUUCUCACUUUGAAGUUUCCUGAAAACUUGAAAUUACUUGAUAUGACAAACUACUAGAGUGACAUUUAUUAGGCUUUCUUUGUGGUUGUUCAUCCUCGCAUGGAAAACUGUCUGGUUUAUAUUUUUAACUAAUAUAUUUAAUCAUAGUGAAAAGAUGUUGGAGUGACUCUCCAGGCCCAUCUGGGCUCACUGUGGCCCCUUGUGAGAAGGCAGGAGACUGACAGUGCUUGGAUCUAGGCUUGGACCCUCCCUUGGUGCCUUCGAGCUCAUAAAUCAUACAUCACAAAAGCAAAGGUAAAGUUCAUGUAUGGAAAAAAAUCAUAUACUAGAUCUUCUACUCGCUAUUAAACCAGUUGAAUUUCCUUUUUUUGAUGUCACUGUUGUUGAAAAUAUUUCAGAAGGGACUUCUUGGGCAAUAGAACUUUUCAAAAAGUCUGGCAUUGCUUUGAUGCUACUUUUAUAGCAUUAGAAAUCAGUUCUGUGCACAAGCAGGGAAAUGAAGAUGAUAAAACCCACCAGGCAAAGGGACAGGAAAAGAAUUUGGGGAACAAAUCCUGUGUGGUUUUGUCUGCUGGGAGUUUUUGUUUGUUUAAGUUGGAGGUUGGGUUUUUUGUCCAAACUACUUUUGUGCUCUUCUGUCUUUCUUUGUGAGUCUGUAAAAUACAGAUUGGGGAAUCACACUGAUGGUUGAACAAAUGUGAAUUGGAGAAUGUUGGAGUAAUCAGCCAUUGAUAAAAAUGCCCUCAAGAUAAAUCAGCUCUGUUCUAUGUUAUGGUGGCCUGUGGGAUUUGGCCCAGUUGGAGAAGUUUAAUUGGAUGAAAAAAAAAAAAA
rnacentral:lncRNA from 1 species